rnacentral:rRNA from 1 species
AACGAACGCUGGCGGCAGGCUUAACACAUGCAAGUCGAGCGCCCUCUUCGGGGGGAGCGGCGGACGGGUGAGUAACGCGUGGGAACGUGCCCUUUUCUCCGGAAUAGCCCAUGGAAACGUGGAUUAAUGCCGGAUACGCCCGGUCUUUGGAUCGGGGAAAGAUUUAUCGGAGAAGGAUCGGCCCGCGUUGGAUUAGGUAGUUGGUGGGGUAAUGGCCUACCAAGCCGACGAUCCAUAGCUGGUUUGAGAGGAUGAUCAGCCACACUGGGACUGAGACACGGCCCAGACUCCUACGGGAGGCAGCAGUGGGGAAUCUUGGACAAUGGGGGCAACCCUGAUCCAGCCAUGCCGCGUGAACGAUGAAGGCCUUAGGGUUGUAAAGUUCUUUCAGCGAGGAAGAUAAUGACGGUACUCGCAGAAGAAGCCCCGGCUAACUCCGUGCCAGCCGCCGCCGUAACAC